GAAGAAGUGAAUUAAGGGCAUUUGGUGGAUGCCUUGGCAUGCACAGGCGAAGAAGGACGUGAUACGCUGCGAAAAGCCGUGGGGAGCUGCGAAUAAGCUUUGAUCCAUGGAUCUCCGAAUGGGGCAACCCACCUUAAAUACCUAGAAAAUCUGUUCUGUGGCGAAACGCCUGCGUGGGACUUCCCAUACAGGGCGCUAGCCCGUCGCCGGUUAUCCGGCGCGCCGUCCGCAGGCCUUUGGCCGUGAGGACAGAAGAGGUUUCUAGGUAUUGUGAUAAGGUAUCUUACUUUCGAAUACAUAGGGGUAAGAAGCGAACGC
rnacentral:rRNA from 1 species